GUGUCAGCAGCCGCGGUAAUACGUACUGCGCGAACGUUAUUCGGAAUCACUGGGCUUAAAGGGUGCGUAGGCGGUUUUUCAAGUCAGGUGUGAAAUCUUUCGGCUCAACCGGAAAAUGGCGCUUGAAACUGAGAGACUGGAGUAUGCUAGGGGUGUGCGGAACUGCCAGUGGAGCGGUGAAAUGUGUUGAGAUUGGCAGGAACGCCGGUGGCGAAAGCGGCACACUGGGGCAUAACUGACGCUGAGGCACGAAAGCCAGGGUAGCGAACGGGAUUAGAUACCCUUGUAGUCC
rnacentral:rRNA from 1 species